rnacentral:rRNA from 1 species
AGAGUUUGAUCCUGGCUCAGGAUGAACGCUGGCGGCGUGCGUAACACAUGCAAGUUGGACGACGGUGCCAUGAAGUGGUAACACGGAGUGGUAUACGGAGUAGCGGACGGGUGAGUAAAGCAUGAGAAUCUGUCCUGUCGAGGGGGAUAACGUUCGGAAACGGACCCUAAUACCCCAUAGUCCGAGAGGUUAAAGGCAGCGAUGCGCGGCAGGAGGAGCUCGUGUCCUAUCAGCUGGUUGGUGAGGUAACGGCUCACCAAGGCUUCGACGGGUAGCCGGCCUGAGAGGGUGACCGGCCACACUGGAACUGAGAAACGGUCCAGACUCCUACGGGAGGCAGCAGUGGGGAAUAUUGGGCAAUGGGAGGAAUCCUGACCCAGCGACGCCGCGUGAACGAAGACGGCCUUCGGGUUGUAAAGUUCUUUUAUGUGGGAAGAAGGAAGUGACGGUACCACAUGAAUAAGCCCCGGCUAACUACGUGCCAGCAGCCGCGGUAAUACGUAGGGGGCGAGCGUUGUCCGGAAUUACUGGGCGUAAAGGGCACGCAGGCUGUGCUUCAAGUCAGCUGUAAAAGGAUGCGGCUUAACCGUGUUAUGCAGUUGAGACUGAGGUGCUGGAGUACCGGAGAGGCAAGUGGAAUUCCCAGUGUAGCGGUGAAAUGCGUAGAUAUUGGGAAGAACAUCGGUGGCGAAGGCGACUUGCUGGACGGUAACUGACGCUGAGGUGCGAAAGCCAGGGUAGCGAACGGGAUUAGAUACCCCGGUAGUCCUGGCCGUAAACGAUGAAUGCUAGGUGUAGGAGGUAUCGACCCCUCCUGUGCCGGAGUUAACGCAAUAAGCAUUCCGCCUGGGGAGUACGGUCGCAAGACUGAAACUCAAAGGAAUUGACGGGGGCCCGCACAAGCGGUGGAGUAUGUGGUUUAAUUCGACGCAACGCGAAGAACCUUACCAGGGCUUGACAUUGAGUGAAAGAGCUAGAGAUAGCUUCCUCCCUUCGGGGACACGAAAACAGGUGGUGCAUGGCUGUCGUCAGCUCGUGUCGUGAGAUGUUGGGUUAAG